UACGUAGGGUGCGAGCGUUGUCCGGAAUUAUUGGGCGUAAAGGGCUCGUAGGCGGUUUGUCGCGUCGGGAGUGAAAACCUUGGGCUUAACUCAGGGCUUGCUUUCGAUACGGGCAGACUAGAGGUAUGCAGGGGAGAACGGAAUUCCUGGUGUAGCGGUGAAAUGCGCAGAUAUCAGGAGGAACACCGGUGGCGAAGGCGGAUCUCUGGGCCUUACCUGACGCUGAGGCGCGAAAGCUAGGGGAGCGAACAGG
rnacentral:rRNA from 1 species